UUGAAUUAGCUCUCGACAAAAACUUGCAACAUUUUCGCUUCAUUUUAUAUUCAUUCAUUGAUUCAUUGAUUGAUGUGUUUGAAAUAGAAGAGGAAUUAACUAAUCAGAGGAAAGAAUGCAGUUAUGGAACAAAGCUCGAAGCUUCGCGGAAGAAACCGCGAAACGAUCACAAGAAGAAAUUUCCACCGGUGCUCACAAAUUCACCGAAAUCAUAACUGAAACUACCAAGGAGAUCGCUGCACAAGCUUCCAUUCACUUGGCCGAACCUUCUUCCAACAAGGAUGUCGAUCUCCAAACCUUCGGCAUCACUCAUGAAUUCAGAGAAUUCGUCAAAGGAAUCACCGUCACUACCUUCCGAGAUUUCCCUCUUCAAGAUGAUACGGAAUUGUCUGAUGUUCCUGCAGUUUCAAAUAUUAGACAGGAUCUAACCGAGUGGCAGGAAAAACAUGCCAAUCUUGUUCUUUCUACUGUCAAGGAGAUUUCAAAAUUGAGGUAUGAGCUGUGUCCACGUGUCAUGAAAGAGAGGAAGUUUUGGAGAAUAUAUUUUAUACUUGUGAAUAAUCAUAUUGCACCCUAUGAGAAUCGGUACAUUGAAGAGACUAAACUAAAAUCAUCCGAGAAAGUUAAAGGUCAAAUAGUGAAGAAACCAUUAGAAGUUGAAUUAACCUCUAACCAAGAGGUUAAGGCAGUGAAUAAAGAGACUAAAACAUCAAAUUCAUCACGUCAGCAAGACUUGGAUGCAUUUCUUCUGGGAGAUACAGGAAGCAGUGAUGAUGACCCAGUGAUCUCCUGAUUUAAGCUGCAUUGGAAUUUGGAAGCUUUGAAGUUUAACAGAAUGAGAUGGAAUAGUUGUGGUGGGGUGAUCUGUGGUUCUGAAGGUGGAUGGUUUGGAUGGUUUUGCUAAACGAAUUGGUAACUGUAACACUUACAUUGUGGAGUUGUGGGGUAUCCUUGAAGGUUUAGGGUUUGCUAAAGAUAGAUGAUUCACUAUAGUAGAGUUGGAAGUAGAUUCUGAAGCUGUAAUUUGCAGUAUCCAAAGCAAAGGUAGCGUGAAUGUUAUGGGAUGGAGACUUGUGCAACGGAUCAGGCAGUUGCUUCAACUGGUGUGGGAAGUUAAGGUGAAGCAUGUGUACUGUGACACAAAUGCUUGUGCAGAUGCAUUAGCAAAUAUGGGGUUAGAUCUGGAUGAUAAUUUUACGGUUUAUGAUGCCUAUCCUGAGCAAGUCAAAUUGUAUUUCCUUGCUGAUAUUUCUGGAGUUUUGACUCCUCGGUUACCUUUGUUAUAGUUUUUUUUUUUCCCUGGGAGUAGGCCCUCUUAAAGAAUGAGAUGGAAUGUAAUGAGGGGAAGGAAUGCAAUCAAAUAGUUAUAAGCUUACCCAUGUUUGGACUAAAAAUGUGAGAAUAAUGGGGAAGAUGACAACAGGGGUGGAUUUGAUGAUGAUUUAGAAAAACUGGUAAAAAGUUCGGAUGAUGAUAAAGAUAAAUCAUAGACGUUGCUUGAAAUUAUUGAGUGACAUUAUUGAAGUAGUGGUUGCAACAUGCCUGAGAAUAUUCAUGAUGAAAUGAAGCUUAAUUUGUUAUUGUGACACAAACGGUGGCUUAGCUGUUUCAUGAUGACUAGAUUUAUUGUUUCAUUUUCAACCCUUCUUUUCUUUCCCCUUUAUUUCACGUGUUAGUAUAGUUUCUCCAUACUGAGAGAUGAAGAUUAAGUUUGAGAUAGAAAAACCUUCAUUUAUUUGGUGAAUAAUUUUGUAAGUUUUGGAAUACAUAUUUCUUUUCUUUGUAAAUAAAAUAUAUACUAAAUUACCUGAAUAAAAAUAUAAAGCAUACAGAUUAUUUUAAAGGAGCAUAUAGAAUUUGUUUGA